rnacentral:rRNA from 1 species
GGUCGGUAUACCCCGUGGUGCAUGGCUGUCGUAGAAGGUCCGUCUCUUGGGUUAAGUCCCAAAACGAGCGCAACUUUAAGAAGAGGGUUGCCAGCAUGCCCUUCGGGGUGAUGGGGACUCACAGGAGACUGCCGGGGUCAACUCGGAGGAAUGUCGGGGACGACGUCAAGUCAUCAUGCCCCUUAUGUCUUGGGCUGCACACGUGCUACAAUGGCCGGUACAAUGAGCUGCGAUGCCGCGAGGCGGAGCGAAUCUCAAAAAGCCGGUCUCAGUUCGGAUUGGGGUCUGCAACUCGACCCCAUGAAGUCGGAGUUGCUAGUAAUCGCAGAUCAGCAUUGCUGCGGUGAAUACGUUCCCGGGUCUUGUACACACCG